GCUUCCUACGGGAGGCAGCAGUGGGGAAUAUUGGACAAUGGGCGCAAGCCUGAUCCAGCCAUACCGCGUGGGUGAAGGAGGCCUUCGGGUUGUAAAGCCCUUUUGUUGGGAAAGAAAUCCUGCCGGUUAAUAACCAGUAGGGAUGACGGUACCCAAAGAAUAAGCACCGGCUAACUUCGUGCCAGCAGCCGCGGUAAUACGAAGGGUGCAAGCGUUACUCGGAAUUACUGGGCGUAAAGCGUGCGUAGGUGGUUGUUUAAGUCUGCUGUGAAAGCCCUGGGCUCAACCUGGGAAUUGCAGUGGAUACUGGGCGACUAGAGUGUGGUAGAGGAUAGUGGGAUUUCCGGUGUAGCAGUGAAAUGCGUAGAGAUCGGAAGGAACAUCUGUGGCGAAGGCGACUAUCUGGGCCAACACUGACACUGAGGCACGAAAGCGUGGGGAGCAAACAGGAUUAGAUACCCUGGUAGUCCACGCCCUAAACGAUGCGAACUGGAUGUUGGGCACAACUUGGUGCCCAGUAUCGAAGCUAACGCGUUAAGUUCGCCGCCUGGGGAGUACGGUCGCAAGACUGAAACUCAAAGGAAUUGACGGAAGC
rnacentral:rRNA from 1 species